rnacentral:lncRNA from 1 species
AUACAAUAAAACCAAGAAACUAACAUCAGCUAAACAUUGGGUAUCACCUCACCCAGGUAAGCUUUUUCAUACUCUUUAGGACAACAAUAUGAUGCAGCAUAUUAAAGGAGGCAUGUCAUAAAUAGCUGAGAAGGGAGUGGAGAAAGACACUGGGGAAAUAUGUGACAAGAGAGAAGGUGUGGACUUGAAAUAACCUACCAAAAAAAUCUGGAACCAUAGACAUAUGGAGAAGAGCCAGCAUAAGCAACAUGUAUCUGAAACCUAGUGCCUGUCCUUCAGAGAUUUCUGACUGGAGAGGCCUUUUUCUGACAAGAGGAAUGGCAGAAUGCCAGGAAAGGUAA